UACAGAGGUCUCAAGCGUUGUUCGGAUUAAUUGGGCGUAAAGAGUGCGCAGGCGGGUUUAAGAGUUUGAUGUGAAAUAAUAAAGCUUAACUUUAUGACUGCAUCGAAUACCUAAUGCCUAGAGAAAUGUUUGGGAGGCUGGAAUUCUCGGUGUAGCAGUGAAAUGCGUAGAGAUCGAGAGGAACACCAGUGGCGAAAGCGAGCCUCUGAGCAUAUUCUGACGCUAAAGCACGAAAGCCAAGGGAGCAAACGGG
rnacentral:rRNA from 1 species